rnacentral:rRNA from 1 species
CCCUUAGAUGUUCUGGGCCGCACGCGCGCUACACUGAUUCAUGCAACGAGUUUUGUCCUUGGCUGAAAGGCCUGGGUAAUCUUUGAACGUGAAUCGUGCUGGGGAUAGAUGAUUGCAAUUAUUCAUCUUCAACGAGGAAUUCCUAGUAAACGCAAGUCAUCAGCUUGCAUUGAUUACGUCCCUGCCCUUUGUACACACCGCCCGUCGCACCUACCGAUUGAAUGGUCCGGUGAAAUCUUCGGAUCUGAGAGAUGUUGGAUUAAUUUCUGACGCCUUUUGGAAAAGUCGCUUAAACCUUAUCAUUUAGAGGAAGGUGAAGUUGUANCA